GGGGGUUUAGCUCAGUGGCAUGAGCACCUGCUUGGUAAGCAGGAGGUUGUAAGUUCAAUCCCCG
rfam:Cavia porcellus supercont2_21 genomic scaffold, whole genome shotgun sequence.